rnacentral:rRNA from 1 species
GACGAACGCUGGCGGCGUGCCUAAUACAUGCAAGUAGAACGCACAGUUUAUACCGUAGCUUGCUACACCAUAGACUGUGAGUUGCGAACGGGUGAGUAACGCGUAGGUAACCUGCCUGGUAGCGGGGGAUAACUAUUGGAAACGAUAGCUAAUACCUCAUAAUAUUGAUUAUUGCAUGAUAAUUGAUUGAAAGAUGCUAUUGCAUCACUACCAGAUGGACCUGCGUUGUAUUAGCUAGUAGGUGAGGUAACGGCUCACCUAGGCGACGAUACAUAGCCGACCUGGGAGGGUGAUCGGCCACACUGGGAAUGAGACAAGGCCCAGACUCCUACGGGAGGCAGCAGGAGGGAAUCUUCGGCAAUGGACGAAAGUCUGACCGAGCAACGCCGCGUGAGGGAAGAAGGUUUUCGGAUCGUAAAGCUCUGCUGUAAGAGAAGAACGGGUGUGAGAGUGGAAAGUUCACACUGUGACGGUAUCUUACCAGAAAGGGACGGCUAACUACGUG